rnacentral:rRNA from 1 species
AGACGUAGGGGGCAAGCGUUGUCCGGAAUUACUGGGUGUAAAGGGAGCGUAGACGGCACUGCAAGUCUGGAGUGAAAGCCCGGGGCUCAACCCCGGGACUGCUUUGGAAACUGUGGUGCUAGAGUGCAGGAGAGGUAAGUGGAAUUCCUAGUGUAGCGGUGAAAUGCGUAGAUAUUAGGAGGAACACCAGUGGCGAAGGCGGCUUACUGGACUGUAACUGACGUUGAGGCUCGAAAGCGUGGGGAGC